GGUAAAUAACGAGUAUUUGGCGAGAAUUUUCCGAGAAUUAAUGUAUUUGCAGGUUUACCGAGGGAAUACCGAGUGAAUAUUUUACCGAGAGAAUCAUUCCCCCGGUAAAUGUCUCUUUAAUUUCUAAUCAGAUUAAAUUAGUUUUAGAUUUAUAGUUUUAAUUUUACCGAGUGAUUUAUUUCCCUCGGUAAAUGGUCUAGUCUGUAAGUUAAAACUACAAUUAUACCGCUGCCGGCUUGCCGGCUUUCUUCUCAGAAUAUUUCUCAUCCCCAAAUUAAAAGCCCUAGUCAAGGCUGUCGUUCUUCUCUUUCGCGGCUGCCGUUCACCACCCCACCUCCGAUUCUAUUUGCAGAAUGACCUCAAAAUCAAUCUGAUUGAUCGGCACGACAUUUCCCGCCACAAAGUGAAUAGGGUGGAAACAAUUCAGAGGCAGAGGCUCAGGAAACUGAACGCCAGUGAAGCGAAUUACACAAAGGCAAAAAAAGAAGAAGAAAUCUGACCUCUGCUCAUGCGGCUGCUAAGGGAAGGAUAAUUUGAUGGUUACCAAUGGUUGCCUUAAAGCUUACAAAAUACAAACUGAUCUUCCAUAGAGGAGAAGGUAAUUGAUGAGGUAUAUGAUGAAUAAUCUGAGGUUGCUGACCGUCUACGGAUUAGGUAUAUGGCAGAGCUAGGUUGUGAAUUCGAAGUUUUCAGAAACGAUGAGCUCACUGCUGAUGAGCUUAGAGAGUAAGCUUCUUCUUUUUUCUUUGUUGUUUGUUCAAUAUUUCUUCUCCAGCUACAUCAUUUAUUGUAAUGAAAAAUAAAAUAAAAAUUACAGUGUUUGAUUAUUUUGGGGGAAAAUGUGAUGAUCGUUUCGGCUUAGUUGAUAGAAGAAGCACAGGUUUUGAUUUUGUGGUGUUAGUUAGGAGCUUUUGCAAUUUGUUAGAUGUUUCCUACAUUGUUACUUGUUACAUUGACAGAGCAUUUAGAUGCAUGUUCGAGUUAUGUUUGUUUUAAUCGUAUCAUGAGAUGCUAUCAAGCUAACAUUGUCUUCUUGCUUUCUAGAGAGUAAUUGGAUUCAUAAUUUCUGUUAUAAUCAAAACUGAAAAGAAAAUGCUAAUCGAUUAUGGAUGUUUGACAGUUGGUUUUUGAUAUGAAUCUACGCUGUGCCUUAGAAUAACAAGACCUAAUUGUUAUUUCCAUUGAGUGAUGAUGUUCUUUAGGUUCUGCGGCUGUUUUUUUUCAUGCAUGACCUUGCAGUUUCUCGGAUUCAGUUAGAAGGAGGUGCUCUGUUUUGUGGAAUCUCGAUGUUGCAAUUGUUGCUUCUGAUGAAGAUAGUUGGCCUUCUUUCUCUCAGUGUAAGGAAUGCAUAUAUCAUUAACAUUGGUGUAUUGGCAUAUUAUUUUUCUCAAAGAAUGUAUUUGGUGGUGACUGUGGCUGUUCAUUUUUAAAUGUGGGAUAUGCAGAAUAUAAUGACUCUAUUUUCAGA